UACGUAGGGGGCGAGCGUUGUCCGGAUUUACUGGGCGUAAAGCGCGUGUAGGCGGCGGCUUAAGUCGGGUGUGAAAGCCCGGGGCUCAACCCCGGGAUGCCGCUCGAGACUGGGUCGCUUGAGGACGGAAGAGGGGCGUGGAAUUCCUGGUGUAGCGGUGAAAUGCGUAGAGAUCAGGAGGAACACCCGUGGCGAAAGCGGCGCCCUGGACCGAGAUUGACGCUGAUGAGCGAAAGCUAGGGGAGCAAACGGG
rnacentral:rRNA from 1 species